rnacentral:lncRNA from 10 species
AAGCAGGUUCCCCCUAGGCAGAGCGCCAAGAAGCAGCCCAGGCGAUCCCAAGGCGCACAAGUGCUCUCACCAGGCUGCGCGCUGGCGGGUCGGUGCACAGGGACGGGGUCGCCGCCCACGCGCGCUUGGUUCAGGGAGCCCAGGCUGUCCCUACCCGCGGCUACAAAAGCUCGCCGAGUCUUCCUGUCCACCCAAUCGCCCCACAUGUCAGCGGUUGGUCGCCUCGCGGUGCAGUGCUGGGCACGCGAGCCCCUCCCGCAGUCAUUCUCAGCACAAGCACCAGCCUGGAGCCCCGCAGCGACAGAGCUGAGAGCCCCCAAGCCGCAGAGGUCGUGCGGAGCAGAUUUGAUUAAGUGAAACAAAGCCCCAGCUGCUGGAGCAGAGGUUCCACUUGGGUUCCACAGACACCCACAGCCCAAAUCCCUGGAGGCCUAAGGCAAUAGCUAAUUGAGACUAUGCAUCACUAUUAAGGCAUCUUCACUAAAGGGCGCUGUGGAAACGCUGCCUGAGAUGCAGACACCUGUCAGAAGGGGGCUAAAUUUCAAACAAGGAACGUGGUGUUGCAUCACAAUAAAUAGAUACGGGGUUUCACCGUGUUAGCCAGGAUGGUCUCGAUCUCCUGACUUCAUGAUUCACAUGCCUCGGCCUCCCAAAGUGCUGGGAUUACAGAACAGAAGAAACACACGUGUUCUUGUGUGUAAACCCAGUCCAUGGAAGAGACCGUCUGCUUGUCCCUCCUGAUCUCUGGGCCCAGACAACCAGUAGUCACCAUUCCAAGUGAGGGGUGGCUGCAACUCUACAGCCCCGUUCGUCUCUCCUCACUGUCAAAGCUGCUGAGACCCCAGACUCGACACUUGAAAGAAACCCAUGUCUGUGAAGCACUUGUGGACCAUUCAAGAUUGUGGAAGAAUCACUCAAGAGAAGGAGAUAGGUGAUGGGAUCUAGCUUCUGAUGGUUUCUAUUUUAUUGAAUGUCUAAUAGGGCAAGAAUUUGAAAAACGAGAAUGUUUGCCAUGCAGGAGGACCUGGGAAGGAGAUAACACAUUUACAGGGAGAAAGAUUGGGAUUCAGUUGGGAGGAGUAACUGAGGAAAGGGGUCACUCAAAAUAUUUUGUAUUUUAGGUCCUUUUUCUAUUAAGGAGGAAUGGAUUAUCAAAGCCUUAACAUUAAAUUGUAUUGUGUCAGGUGAAUUGCUAUGGUUUGAAUGUGGUGUGUCCCCCUCCCAAACUCACAUUGAAUUUUUUUUUUUUUUUUUGAGACGGAGUCUCGCUCUGUUGCCCAGGCUGGAGUGCAGUGGUGCGAUCUUGGCUCACUACAAGCUCUGCCUCCCGGGUUCAAGAGAUUCUCCUGCCUCAGCCUCCCGAGUAGCUGGGAUUACAGAUGUUCGUCACCACACCUGGCUAAUUUUUGUAUUUUUAAUAGAGAUGGGGUUUCACUAUGUUGGCUAGGCUGGUCUCAAACUCCCGACAUCAGGUGAUCCACCCACCUCGGCCUCCCAAAGUGCUGGGAUUAGAGGAGUGAGCCACUGCACCCAGCCUCACGUUGAGGUUUAAUUGCCAUUGUAACAGUAUAAAGAUGUGGGACCUUUACGAGGUGAUUAGGCAAUGAGGACUCUGCCCUCAUGAAUGGAUUAAUGCUGUUAUCAUGGGAGUGGAUUCCUUAUAAAGGGACACGUUCAGCACCCCCUUGCUCUCUCUCUCACCUUCCGCCAUAUGAUGAUGGGGCACAAAGGCCAUCAUCAGAUGUUGGCCCCUUGUUCUCGAACUUCCCAACCUCCAGAGCAGUAAAAAAAUAAAUCACUGUUCUUUAC